rnacentral:lncRNA from 1 species
UUUUUUUUUUUUUUGUCGGCAGCUUUCUGUAGUGAUGUGUUGCACUGUGAGGAAAAUUGGAUGAUUGUGUGUUAUCCAAGUAUGUAUUUAAGCUAAGAGCUAGUGAAAGCUGACCAUAAGCUGAUUCCUCACUUUUUGCAUUGUGUCACUGUGCUGUGUAGUCAUCUUAUAGCUUCCAGGUUGUCCACUAGUCCAUGCUUGUUUGACAUUCAAUCCAUUUACCAAAAUUUAUACUACUCAGUACUCUGUCGAUAAUACAUUCAUGCUAGUUCCAUUAUUGCAGCUUUGCAACAUUUAAUGCAGUUCCUCAGCAUGUUUUUGUAAAUCAAUUGGAAGUCAAUGUCUUCAUCGCCUCUCUGCUCUCGUGCCUGACGUUUUAGUGGCAGAUAUGUCCUCCAGAAAGUACCAAAUAUGUGAAGAUGAAGUUCUUCUAAAGUAUAUACUUGGAGAACAAGAACAGCAGAUGUGAAGAAAGCCUUUAUUUCCCUGUAAAAUACACACUGCGUAAGCAAAAGAGAGUAGCAAUAAUUUGAUUGCAAGAGGCUUCAAAUAAUGAUUUUUUUAAGAGCAGUCAACAGGGUAUCGCUUGAAACAGAACAAAAUGAAAUACUAACUCAAGAAAAGACACAAGUAUGCAUGAGCGAGCAAGUACAGAGCUCAGCGGUUGAAAUGCAAUACUCUGAGUGCACAACUGCUGGAAGGUUUUUGUGCCACUGGUAGGCGCUGGGUGCGCCGAUCUGAUGCAUUUUUUUGUAUCAAAUGAAAGCGAGUGCCUUUGCGAUAAAUUAUGACUGCAUUCGGUCCCCUCAGCCAUCACCCAGCGUUCACCGGCGGCACAAAAAGGAUCUACCACUAUGCAGCUAGAGUAUCGUGUUUCAUUUGCUCAGCACUGUACAUGCACUGUCAAUGUUAUACUUUUUCUUGCAUCACAAGCGUGGAUGCGUACAAGCUAGCUUAAUAUAAUCACAACCUUUGCAGUGGAACUGUUCAUUAGUGUGGCCAAAGAUUUGGAGCUAUGAAUUGAUAUGUCCUCAAAGCAACAUUUCUAUAAGUGUUUCACAUUGACAUGUUAUUUUAACACUUUGAAACAAAUGUGUACAAGCUUUUGAAAAACUAACAAAAAUUUGCAGAAUACAGUGUCGGCAGUGUCAAACCUACUUUAGUUAUGGCCGGAAACUUGUAUUUUUCCAGUUUUUCCCUUUGACUCAGACUACACAGAGGUGAGGGGGAGGGCUGACUAUACUCAACAGUCGUAUGAGUAAUGAAUGACUGCCACGUUAGAGCAGGGUCACUGUCAGAUGUUGCAAGGCUUUUGAGAACCCUCCUUUGUGAACUACCAUGCGCAGAUCCCAAAUAAUUCUGCCUUGGAAUUCUUGUUGGCAUAGUUGCUCAGAUGAUGUUCUAAUUCCUUUGCCAUCAGCCUUCAUUUGCUGUUACAUAUUUUUUUAACACUUGUGAAUAAGGACAGUUUGGCAGCCUGCUCUUCAACAUGUUUAUGAUCUUCCGUCGAUGAAGUGAAACUUGAAAUUUUGUGUGUGGUGUGUGGAGAAAAUGGUGUGCAAUGAGUAUUCUACAUCAUGCUGUGCAGAGUUGGCAUUUCUUGUGAAAUUGAUGUAUGUGCGUAUGUUUGUAUGCUUGCAUGCCGGCACAGGUGCAUGCAUUUCUUGUGCAGAGGCUGCAGAUUGUUAAUUUAAUUUGCUCCCAUUUUGCAGGCUGUGUGUGAACUUAGGUAGGUCCUGUUUUCAUUAGAGUGUGGCCUUAGCUCAAACCCGAGUGUAAAGGAUUAUUAGAGCACUACAUUGAAAGGUUGUACUCUUUCCAGCAAUAUGUAUGUAUGUAUUAUAGGUUACGAAAGUACUGCUGGGCACCUGUUCCUUUGUGUGCUUAACGAACAAAAAUCUACCACUCUGCCUCUCUCUGUCUCUUUGAUGUUGAAAGCUGUGCACUUUGUUAAAGCUGCUACACAACCUGUACUACCGGUGUGUACCGUGUGGUGAUCAGAUGACUUGGGUGUGUUUUACAACACAUACGCAAAGAUGUUUUCAUCACGAUGUGAGCAGGGCACUCAUUAGAAUGUGCGUUGUUUUUGUGGAGCAAGCAAUUAUAAGGACAAAACUCUGCAUUGAGAAAAAUUGGGAGACACCAUCUGGUAGUGCAAUACAUGAGCACACUUGAUUUUCAUGGUGAAAGCAAAGCACUAGUAACAGGUUUGUUGCUGUUGUCAGCCACCAGAUGGGCCCAGCAUGCAGUGAGCAUUAGGGGACGUCAGUGCGCACCUCCUCCCUCAUGGUAGGGGAGGAGGACAUCGAGGCACCGUAGUGAGCAUAAGUUUUCUGAUAAGAGGAGGGUUUUGGUAGUAAAUCUCCGUGACUACAUGCAUGUAGAACUGCUACACUUACUCAAAGGCCAAGUCAACACUAUGAUCCAAAUUAUGUUUCAGCCAUUAGUUACCAUAACUUUGGCAUCACUAGCUUUCUUGUAGCUGUUGAAAAAUUGUUUUCGAAAGGAGGCCAACCAAAGCUUUGCGAAGCAAAUUUAUUUUCAUGCACUCGGGUCUGUUUGUUUAUGUGAGUUGUACCAGACACUGUGAUGACUGUUGAAGGCACUUUGUCAAGCUGCCUGACAGCAAAUUAUAAUGCGCAUGUGAUUUAUUGAGCAAGUGGCAUUAGCUUUUCAUGGAUAGCAAUUGUGGAAUACGUAUGUGAUUGCCAACCAAAUUCAGUCUUCCACUGUGGAGAAGCAUUUCAGGCAAUUAAUUUAUGUAUGAUCUUUCAUAGGUUAAUUUUUACAUGUGGCUUUCAGUCCCUGCGCGUUUGUGAGAGGAGGGGACUUGGUGGUAAUUCAAUUCUUGUUAUCAUUAUUCUCAGCUGUUAGAGCGCUGAACUGUUGUAUUUAGCCGGUUCAGAGUUGUGGGAAUCGUGCUUCCUCGCUGUACACCAAUUCCACAAACAGAUGAUGCUGGAGUUACAAAUUUUUGUUUUGUUCUACUUAAGCAUCUCAGCAAAAUGUGAAAUUUGCAUGUUGUGCAGCACUCUUGUGUCAAGACAGAACGAACAUGUUCAGUAGUGCUCGCUGCACGCAAGCAAGAAGUUGUUCUGUGAUGGCAAUAAAAAGUGACAAAAACAUA